GGCCAUCUUAAUUGGUAUAAAAAAUAAGAAAGAAGAUAAAAAUGAUUGAAAUAUUUUGAUUGAAUCAUCCAGAUUUGAUAUCAAAUUUAUGAUAAAAUAAUAGUUAAUUAGAUAAAAUAAUAGUUAAUGAUAAAAGAAAGAUGGGAAGCAGGAGAACCAUCUCAAGUCAAGAAAAGAAAAAAAUCUUUAAUCACAUCAUUGUAAGAG
rnacentral:lncRNA from 1 species